GGAUUUUAUAAAUUGCAACAUUAACUUAAUUUUUAUUAUAUUUUUGUACUGUGGCAACUUUUCUCUCUCUUGCUCUGCGACACGGACCGAAUAGACGUAUGUAAUUAUUUGCAAUCGCUGUUUUAUUUACUGAAAAUCUGAAUCUCCUGCAUCAGCGCACCAGCCCUAUCAACAAGCUACACCGCUGCACAUGGUCCUUCGAAAAAAGAAGCGCUGCUGGGAGACGAAACUCCAGGUUUGCAAACAAAUUUACGGCCGUGUCGCACGAGGCCAUUUUUUUUUGGUGAGCAUUGAGCAAGCAAACGGGCUCGCGAUUUCCUGUGAGACUGGUCGUCGCUACAAAAUCGCAAUACCUACACGAUUCGACGGCCACAAUUACAAGCUCCACAGGAGGAAGCCCAGCAUCAGCAUCGAUCUAAAAUUCGAUUUCACCGUCGUCGCCGGAGUCACCUCUGCAGGUGCGAAGAGUACACUUAGCAGCAAGAUAGGGUGUUCCGCGAGAGCAAGCGAGACGGAGCACAUCGAAAUUCUAAAGAUUCGCAUUUCAUCGCACGCCCGCACGCAACAAUAGGACAAUCGUACGGGCGCGAAAGAGACAGCAAGUGACGCCACAAAACUUCACAGCAGCAACAGGCGAGCUCGCGCAACCGCCAUUUUGUUGGGAAGAAUUGGAUCGCCGUCGCCGAUCAAUAUUGUAAAAGUGUUUAAUAUAACAGUGAAUCUUGUAAUACAUAGUUAAUAGUGUUCCUGUAAAGUUAUUAACGUAAAGUACAGGUAAUAUUGUUUUAAGAAUCGACAAAUUUAGCGAACAAUGGAAGACCUAAAGAAAAAAGUCGCCGCACGCGGUUAUGUGAAAGGUACUAUGACUAGAUUAUUUAAUUUCGUAAACAUUGCCAAUUUAGACGAUAUUUCCAUUAAUGACCUAUGCACAAAACGUGAUAGGCUCAAUGUGGCUUUUAAAGAAUACGAAGCCCUAUGUAAAGAUAUUCUCGGUCUUGACUCCGCCGACGAGGAGGAUAUCGAGUCGGUGGAGGACAAUUAUUUUAAAACUUUAUCAGCCUUUGACAAACGCAUCAAGCCUCUUGAUUCAAACCCUUCAGGCUCUUCCACUCAUGAAAAAACACAUAAAACUAAAUUGCCACCUAUUUCCAUAAAACCCUUUGAGGGCACAUACACAGAAUAUGUUCCAUUUAUCAAUUUAUUUAAUUCAUUAAUUCAUAAUGACAAAAGCCUAGACAAUAUACAAAAAUUCUAUUAUUUAAGAACAUUGUUAAAGGGUGAGCCAUUCGAUUUAGUCAAAAACUUGCCGGUCGAAGCUCUCAGUUAUGAUGCAGCUUUAAAUUUACUAAAAAACAGAUAUGAAAAUAAAUAUAGAAUAAUCUCUGAGCACAUUUGCAAGCUAUUAGACUUAAAACAAAUAGUAAAAUCAACAGCAGUCUCACUCAGAGAAUUUAUUUCAACAGUUAGGCAGCAAAUAACUGCCAUCAAAUAUCAAGAACCUAAUGUUAUAUACUGGGAUGCUAUAUUGUUGUGUAUUCUCUCUCGCAAACUAGACAGUUACACUGCGAAGGCCUACCAACUUGACCGGGAUAUGAAUGCUAAGCCGCAAUUGGAGGAUUUUCUCAAGUACAUUGAGAACCGAGCCAACGCACUGGAGAAUGUCGAGCAGGGACGUCAACCCCAUCCUGGUAAUAGUAGCAGUAAGGUAGCAGCAGUCGCCACUACAGGAGCAACAUGCACUUACUACGCUAUUGCCCAACGAGCAGUGCGUGACCAUCAGCCUGCCCAGCCACAGCAACCAGUCAUCAGCUGUGCCCCGGAGUGCUGCUCAUCCACCACAACAGCCUAGUAGCACACAGCUACAUGUCUUCAACACAUACUUCGGGCACAUUGUAGGAGGGAAUCUGCCACCUAAGUGUUUCAGAAGGAGACUCGGCAGAUUUAAUCGGCUUUGCUGACGCUUCGAGUAAGACAGCCUACGGAUGCUGUGUGUACCUGCGAGUCACAGACCAAACAGACAAAAGGCCUUAGCAGCCAAGCAACUGAUGGGCUCCUUGCCGGCUGCACGUGUAACAGCCACCAGCAGGCCAUUUGAGAAAGUCGGCGUGGAUUUCGCUGGGCCAAUUGAUGUGAAACUCUCUCGCGUAAGACGAUCUUUAAUAGGUAAAGGGUAUAUCUGUGUAUUCGUAUGUUUCGCGACAAAAGCAGUUCACUUAGAACUUGCAUCAGAUUUGACCACGGAAACCUUUCUUGCGUGCUUAAGGAGAUUUAUCUCCAGACGAGGUUUGCCCACCGAAAUUCACUGCGACAAUGCAAGUACUUUUAAAAGUGCAAGGAGUCAAUUAGUUGAGCUCUACAAGCUGCAAGCUUCGCAGAGCCACCAAAUGCAGGUUCAAAGAUUUACCGCCGAGCGUGGGAUACAAUUUCACUUUAUACCAUGUUACUCGCCUACAUUUGGCGGGCUCUGGGAAGCGGCAGUUAAGAGCACGAAGUUUCACUUAAAAAGAAUAUUACAAAAAACUGUUCUAACUUAUGAACACCUUAAUACUGUAUUAACUGAAAUCGAAGCAGUGCUUAAUUCUAGGCCACUCUUACCUUUAUCUUCAAACUCUGAUGAUUAUUGUUAUUUAACACCUGGUCACUUUAUUAUAGGUAGUGCUUUGUCAAUGUAUCCUGAAAUAAAUGUAUGUAACAUUCCACAAAAUAGACUUAAGUUUUGGCAACUAUGUAAUUCUUUAAAACAAUCCUUUUGGAAAGUGUGGCACCAAUGUUAUUUAAAUUUAUUACAAAACAGACCUAAGUGGCGUGAUACAAUUUGUAAUGUUAAGUUAGGCAACUUAGUUAUUUUAAAAGAGGACAAUAUUCCUCCUAUGUCAUGGCCAAUGGCACGAAUUGUUAAAUUAUUUCCAGGACAUGAUGGAAAAAUUAGGGCAGUUGAUGUUAGGACACCAAAUGGGAAAACCCAUACCCGUGCCAUCAAUAAAAUUUGUUUACUGGCAAUAGAAUAUGAUGAUAGUACUUAAGAAAUUGUAUUAAUGUUUAAAAAUAAGUCAUAUUUGUAAAACCAUAUAAGUUAUAGUUAUACUUCUGUGAGGCCGCAGCAUGUUGGAUUUUAUAAAUUGCAACAUUAACUUAAUUUUUAUUAUAUUUUUGUACUGUGGCAACUUUUCUCUCUCUUGCUCUGCGACACGGACCGAAUAGACGUAUGUAAUUAUU
rnacentral:misc_RNA from 1 species